rnacentral:lncRNA from 1 species
AGCACUUCACCAGACCCGCAAUCUGAUAAGUUGAGGAUCUUAAGAUUUCUUAACGUACAUUCCGAUGGAAAUAUGUUACAUAACCAUAUGCAAUGUUGUAUUUCAAGUUCCUCUAGUUUCUCAAGGUAGCGUAGAACUUGCAUGGGCGGAUCUCGACAUAAUUGUGUCAAGUUUUCCAUACGCUGAAGGCGUAACUUGACCAAGUUGCAAAUCAAAUUAUCUUAGUUGAAAUCAU